rnacentral:rRNA from 1 species
CAGUCGCCACGGUAAAACGUAGGGUGCGAGCGUUAAUCGGAAUUACUGGGCGUAAAGCGCGCGUAGGCGGCUUUUUAAGUCAGAGGUGAAAGCCCGGGGCUCAACCCCUGAAUUGCCUUUGAAACUGGGAAGCUAGAAUCUUGGAGAGGUCAGUGGAAUUCCGAGUGUAGAGGUGAAAUUCGUAGAUAUUCGGAAGAACACCAAUGGCGAAGGCGACUGACUGGACAAGUAUUGACGCUGAGGUGCGAAAGCGUGGGGAGCAAACAGGAUUAGAUACCCGGGUAGCCCUGUCUCUUAUACA